rnacentral:rRNA from 1 species
GACGAACGCUGGCGGCGUGCUUAACACAUGCAAGUCGAACGGAAAGGCCCUGCUUUUGUGGGGUGCUCGAGUGGCGAACGGGUGAGUAACACGUGAGUAACCUGCCCUUGACUUUGGGAUAACUUCAGGAAACUGGGGCUAAUACCGGAUAGGAGCUCCUGCUGCAUGGUGGGGGUUGGAAAGUUUCGGCGGUUGGGGAUGGACUCGCGGCUUAUCAGCUUGUUGGUGGGGUAGUGGCUUACCAAGGCUUUGACGGGUAGCCGGCCUGAGAGGGUGACCGGCCACAUUGGGACUGAGAUACGGCCCAGACUCCUACGGGAGGCAGCAGUGGGGAAUAUUGCACAAUGGGCGGAAGCCUGAUGCAGCAACGCCGCGUGCGGGAUGACGGCCUUCGGGUUGUAAACCGCUUUCGCCUGUGACGAGGCGUGAGUGACGGUAAUGGGUAAAGAAGCACCGGCUAACUACGUGCCAGCAGCCGCGGUGAUACGUAGGGUGCGAGCGUUGUCCGGAUUUAUUGGGCGUAAAGGGCUCGUAGGUGGUUGAUCGCGUCGGAAGUGUAAUCUUGGGGCUUAACCCUGAGCGUGCUUUCGAUACGGGUUGACUUGAGGAAGGUAGGGGAGAAUGGAAUUCCUGGUGGAGCGGUGGAAUGCGCAGAUAUCAGGAGGAACACCAGUGGCGAAGGCGGUUCUCUGGGCCUUUCCUGACGCUGAGGAGCGAAAGCGUGGGGAGCGAACAGGCUUAGAUACCCUGGUAGUCCACGCUGUAAACGGUGGGUACUAGGUGUGGGGUCCAUUCCACGGGUUCCGUGCCGUAGCUAACGCUUUAAGUACCCCGCCUGGGGAGUACGGCCGCAAGGCUAAAACUCAAAGGAAUUGACGGGGCCCCGCACAAGCGGCGGAGCAUGCGGAUUAAUUCGAUGCAACGCGUAGAACCUUACCUGGGUUUGACAUGGAUCGGGAGCGCUCAGAGAUGGGUGUGCCUCUUUUGGGGUCGGUUCACAGGUGGUGCAUGGCUGUCGUCAGCUCGUGUCGUGAGAUGUUGGGUUAAGUCCCGCAACGAGCGCAACCCUUGUUCACUGUUGCCAGCACGUUAUGGUGGGGACUCAGUGGAGACCGCCGGGGUCAACUCGGAGGAAGGUGGGGAUGACGUCAAGUCAUCAUGCCCCUUAUGUCCAGGGCUUCACGCAUGCUACAAUGGCUGGUACAGAGAGUGGCGAGCCUGUGAGGGUGAGCGAAUCUCGGAAAGCCGGUCUCAGUUCGGAUUGGGGUCUGCAACUCGACCUCAUGAAGUCGGAGUCGCUAGUAAUCGCAGAUCAGCAACGCUGCGGUGAAUACGUUCCCGGGGCU